CACUGCAUCCUUCCUUUCCUUCCUCGAAUCGAAUCGAAGCUCCGCCUGCUCCGCUUCGCUUCGCCGACGACUCCGGCCGCCACCGCAACCGCACGCGGCGGCAGCCUUACCGGAUCCUCCACCCCCACCCGAACCCGCGAACCCGCGUGCCCGUGCUUCACGCGCAUUAAAGCGGCAGCAAGGCCACCUCCUCGCACCUCGCUCACCGCACGGCACACGCGCCCGGGGGAUUUGGAAAUUGGAAAUUUCAGAUCCCAGAUCUCGUCUCGCCGAUCUCGCCCUCCGCUAAGCCAUGGGUUCGGUUGUGGAUGCUCCAACAGUUGUGGCUGGACAGGAGGAGGUCACUGACAACAUGUUGGGUGACAAGAAAGUUACAGUUGUAUUUGUUCUAGGUGGUCCUGGGAGUGGAAAGGGCACACAGUGUGCCAACAUUGUUGAACACUUUGGAUUCAUUCAUCUUAGUGCUGGAGACCUUUUGCGUGCAGAGAUCAAAUCUGGCUCUGAGAACGGAACUAUGAUCGAGAACAUGAUAAAGGAGGGAAAGAUUGUUCCAUCUGAGGUAACUAUAAAACUCUUGCAGGAAGCCAUGAUUAAAAGUGGAAAUGAUAAGUUCCUUAUUGAUGGAUUUCCAAGGAACGAAGAGAAUCGUGCUGCAUUUGAGAACGUUACAAAAAUAACUCCUGCGUUUGUGCUAUUCUUCGAUUGUUCUGAGGAAGAGAUGGAAAGACGUCUUUUGGGACGCAAUCAGGGAAGAGUUGACGAUAACAUUGAGACUAUCAGGAAAAGGUUCAAAGUUUUUGUUGAAUCCAGUUUGCCUGUCAUUGAGUACUAUAAUGCAAAGGACAAGGUUAAAAAGAUUGAUGCUGCAAAACCAAUUCCUGAGGUGUUUGAAGAUGUCAAAGCCAUUUUCGCUCCAUAUGCGCCAAAUGCCGCUUAGAGCAAUAGAAAGGACCACAUGAGUGAUAAAUUGCACCAACUUUAGAAAAGGCUUUGCUCUCAGGUGUGACUACAAAUCUGUGAUUACGAAACCGUUGAUAUAGAAGAGAGUUUUGGCUCAUAUGAGCUACCUGCAUACCCGUAGGCAAUUUGAUUUGUUACUUGCAAUAAUUAAUUUUGAUCCCCAUUUCCUGCUAGAUUAACUUUUACGAGAGUUGGCGUAUCGUAUGUAAUGCUGUACUUGUACCAAUGUAUCAUUUACCUCAUGGACGAUGAAACUUUGUCCUCCCGCCAGUUUCUGGUGGUAUAAUACAGAAAGUGGAACUUCCGAAUUUUUUUUUGGUUAGUUUCUAAAACAAUGUUCACUGAACAGCUAAUAAUUAUUCAAUUUGUUAUUGACAA